rnacentral:rRNA from 1 species
AUUGAACGCUGGCGGCAGGCCUAACACAUGCAAGUCGAACGGUAACAGGAAGAUGCUUGCUUCUUUGCUGACGAGUGGCGGACGGGUGAGUAAUGUCUGGGAAACUGCCUGAUGGAGGGGGAUAACUACUGGAAACGGUAGCUAAUACCGCAUAACGUCGCAAGACCAAAGAGGGGGACCUUCGGGCCUCUUGCCAUCGGAUGUGCCCAGAUGGGAUUAGCUAGUAGGUGGGGUAACGGCUCACCUAGGCGACGAUCCCUAGCUGGUCUGAGAGGAUGACCGCCCACGGGGAAGAGGGGACAGGGCCCAGACGCCUGGGGGGGGCAGAGGGGGGGAAUAUGCCAAAGGGGGCGAAAGCGUGAUGAGGCAGGGCGGGGUGUAGGAGGAAGGCGUUGGGGUGGAAAAGUUCUUUCAGGGGGGAGGAGGGGAGAAAAGUUAAUACCUUCCCUCAUUGACGUUCCCCGAAAAAGAAGCCCCGGCUAACUCCGUG